AGCACCGAGACGGAAGCGCGGCAGGACGGGAGCGGUGCUGAGGACAGGCGGCGCCGGAGGUGUGCGGGAGAACGGCUCCAUGCCGGGGAGAGGAACCGAGCGCGGCCCGAAUCCCCCCGCCGUCCCCUCCCCUCCGCUCCCCUCCCCUCCGCUCGGCCGUGGGAUGCGGGGAUUUGGGACGGCUGAAGGACUCGGGGCCCCCACCGCCGCAGCGCUGCUGCCCGCAUCCGGGCCGGGCCCCCCCGAGCCUCCAGCGCUGCUCCCGGUGCCCCCCAGGGCUGAGGCCCCGAUGAUGGCCCAGGCAUGAAAGAGCCCAGAGCUCGUCGCUGGGGAGAGGCUGCGUAUGGCGUUGUGAAGGGAGAGGUGGAGGAGGGCUUUGAGCAGCGCUGUGCAGGAAUGAAUGGCUGGCAGGAGCCGGGCAGCGGUACUGCAGCUCGUCUGGCAGCUUUGCAGCUCAGUUGGGAAGUAGAAGAUGUGGCUGUGAAAGAAGAAGUCAGUUGCUGGGACGUCCCCCUGUUCUUCCCCUAGCUGUCCCCUUGCCUCAGCCUGGAUUCCCCUUGCAUUCCUGUAGGAUUCCCUUCCAUCCUCCUGGUUGUCCCUUGCUUUCCCCAAGGUUGCUCUUUCCUUUCCCAUGACAGCCCACCCAUCAUUCUCUCAAAGCCCCAAUAUCCACCCCAGUGUUUCCCCAGCAAGACCCCUAGAGACGCCCUGUAGCCCCCCACAGAGCACCAUACACCCUCUAGGACCUCCUCAGACCCGGUACACCUCCCCUGUAGCUGGCCCAUACGCACACGGAGCCCCACAGUCCCCAGCAUCACCCCAUGUAACCCACUGGCCUCCUGCAGGACCCCCGUGUUUCCUCUAUUUCCUCCUUCUGACCUCCUUUCCCACCUCCAAGACCCCAACCCCGGGAUCUCACCGAUUCCCACAGUCCCUGACAGGACCCCUGUCACCAUCCCAGGAACCCCAUAGCCCACCUGAGGGCCCUCCUCAACCCAUCCCCAUCAAGCUCUUGUACAGCCAUAGGGUGCUGGGGCAGGGGUGGCUGCUGCAGGAGAGGAAUGCGGGGCUGGAGCAGGUGCAGGGCACAGCUGUGGGUGAAAGGGAUGUGAGGGGCACUGUGGGUCCAGGAACGUAGGGGUUGUGGGGGCACGUGGGGAGCGGUUUGGGUGAGAAUGGAGGAUGUGCGGUGGUGUUGGAGUGCACUGGUUGAUUUCUUCCUGGGAGGGGAUUGGGGUUCCCUUUGGCCCAAAGGUGGAGCCCUGAUCCAUAACCCCACGUGAGCCCAGAACCCCAUAUAACUCUGCAUGAGCCCAAGGCUCCACAUGACCCAUAACCGUGUGAGCACCGUAAGCCCAUAUGAGGCUGAGGGCAGUGGUGGGUCUGUUACUGGCUAGGUCAGGAAGUACUCUAGGGUGGCUCUGGGGCCGCUGUAGAAUAGCACUCUACAUCUGCCCCUGACCCUCAUCUUGGGGGGUAAGAUGGGGGUGCAGGGGUUAGUGGAGGGCUAAGGAAGAGAUUCCAUGAGUAUGAACCAUAGCAGCCCCAGAGCCAUCCUAGAGCAGCGCCAUCACUGCCCACGGCCCAUGGCCAGCAGCAGUUCCACCACAAGCUGUGUGUUGGGUCAAGGCAGCUCCUAGGUGUUGCUCUGCUUCAUAGCUGCCCCAAAGUGCCUCCUGUAGCCCUCCCA